CCGAGACUCAGUGAAAUUGAACUCGCUGUGAAGAUGCAGUGUACCCGCGGCAAGACGGAAAGACCCCGUGAACCUUUACUAUAGCUUGACACUGAACAUUGAGCCUUGAUGUGUAGGAUAGGUGGGAGGCUUUGAAGUGUGGACGCCAGUCUGCAUGGAGCCGACCUUGAAAUACCACCCUUUAAUGUUUGAUGUUCUAACGUGGACCCGUAAUCCGGGUUGCGGACAGUGUCUGGUGGGUAGUUUGACUGGGGCGGUCUCCUCCUAAAGAGUAACGGAGGAGCACGAAGGUUGGCUAAUCCUGGUCGGACAUCAGGAGGUUAGUGCAAUGGCAUAAGCCAGCUUGACUGCGAGCGUGACGGCGCGAGCAGGUGCGAAAGCAGGUCAUAGUGAUCCGGUGGUUCUGAAUGGAAGGGCCAUCGCUCAACGGAUAAAAGGUACUCCGGGGAUAACAGGCUGAUACCGCCCAAGAGUUCAUAUCGACGGCGGUGUUUGGCACCUCGAUGUCGGCUCAUCACAUCCUGGGGCUGAAGUAGGUCCCAAGGGUAUGGCUGUUCGCCAUUUAAAGUGGUACGCGAGCUGGGUUUAGAACGUCGUGAGACAGUUCGGUCCCUAUCUGCCGUGGGCGCUGGAGAACUGAGGGGGGCUGCUCCUAGUACGAGAGGACCGGAGUGGACGCAUCACUGGUGUUCGGGUUGUCAUGCCAAUGGCACUGCCCGGUAGCUAAAUGCGGAAGAGAUAAGUGCUGAAAGCAUCUAAGCACGAAACUUGCCCCGA
rnacentral:rRNA from 2 species